AUGACUGAUUCAUCUGAUUCUCUAAACCGAUCCACACAGGAGUUGCGUUUCUACCAAGAAAAGCCCAAGGAUGAUGUUGAUGAGGACCAAGAGUUUCAGGAUAUGUUCUCAGAUAUUGGCACAUCUUUUGACAUGCUAAUUGACCCAAUUUAUGAAAGGAUCAAGGAGCAUGUUAAAGCUUUUAAGAAGAGUUCUGUUAAUGGUAAUCUAGGUUCAGAGGAGAAUAAGAUGGGGGCUGAUAAUGAAAGGGGCAAAGAAAAAAGGAAAAACUGGAGCAUGUUAGCAAUAUUAGAAGAUUGCUUUUGUGCUGUGAAAUGGCUUUGGUAUUCAAGAGUGGAGAAAUUUCCAAUUAAACAUCUUGACUUACCUAUUUUUGAUGUUCGAUUGCCUAAGUCAAUGUGGGAUCGAGUCUUGAAAAAGGUUUAUAGUGCAACUGUUCAUCAAUGGAUGACUGUGAAUCAAGGCUUUGAUUGGCAAAGGCAAGCUUGGAAUGUGAUUUGCCGUUAUAAUAGGGUUUCAGACUCGGUCAUUGCUCAAUUUACUAAUUUACAGGAAGCUUUACAAGAUAUGCAUCGAGCUUCAGUUCGAGAGAAUGUGUUCCUUUGGGAAUUUGAAAGUGAUGGAAUUGUCAAGGUCAAAUCAAGCUUAGAGGAACCCCAAUCCGCUUUUGAAGCAGUUGCGUUCUUGGCAACCAUUAUCAUAGUCCAUGAGAGUGGCCAUUUCUUGGCUGCAUAUCUUCAAGGAAUCCAUGUGAGUAAAUUUGCUGUGGGUUUCGGUCCUGUGUUAGCAAAAUUCAAUGCGAAGAAUGUCAAGUUCUCUAUCAGGGCCUUUCCUCUAGGUGGUUUUGUGGGUUUUCCAGACAAUAAUCCCGAGAGUGAUAUCCCAGUUGAUGAUGAGAAUUUGUUAUAGAAUAGACCAAUUAUCGAUAGGGUACUAGUUAUAUCAGAAUUUGUUGAAGGAUUAUGCUCACGGGAUAUAAUUCUCAGUGUAAAUGGUAAUUCUUUGUACAAAUCCACUUUCUCUGCUUUUCAAGUUGUUGAUAUGAUAAGGAAAAGCUCUGGUAGGAGCGUCGUGAUAAACGUAGAGAGAGAAAAUAAGAUUUUAGAAAUUGGGGUCGCCCUAGAUUUUAAUUCAGAUGGAACGAUUGGGGUACAAUUGUUUGCUAAUUUUAGAGUUUCGAAAUCAACAAGCAAGGUUUUAGGACCUGUAGCCAUUAUUGCUAUAGGAGUAGAGAUCUCAAGAUCAAGCACUGAUGGCCUCUAUCAAUUCGCAGCCAUUCUUAAUCUUAAUCUUAAUCUUGCGUUAAUAAAUUUGCUUCCUUCACUUGCUCUUGAUGGUAGGUCAUUGGCUCUUUUACUUGUAGAGGCGGCAAGAGGGGGUAGAGAGAUCCCCCAAAAAGUUGAGCGGAAGAUGCUAUGUGGAUUUUUGAGAAAAAGAGAAUAG